CUGCUUACUUUAACAGCACAUAUAUUAAAAUUAGAAUGAUAUGAAGAUCAGUAUGACCCCUCUAGAAAGAUGAUGUGCAAAUUCAUGAAGCAUUCUGUAUAUUU
ensembl:snRNA U6 U6 spliceosomal RNA